AUUGAACGCUGGCGGCAGGCCUAACACAUGCAAGUCGAGCGAGCGGCGGACGGGUGAGUAAUGUAUGGGGAUCUGCCCGAUAGAGGGGGAUAACUACUGGAAACGGUAGCUAAUACCGCAUACCAUCAGAUGAACCCAUAUGGGAUUAGCUAGUAGGUGGGGUAACGGCUCACCUAGGCGACGAUCCGUAACUGGUCUGAUAGGAUGAUCAGCCACACUGGAACUGAGACACGGCCCAGACUCCUACGGGAGGCAGCAGUGGGGAAUAUUGGACAAUGGGCGAAAGCCUGAUCCAGCCAUGCCGCGUGUGUGAAGAAGGCCUUAGGGUUGUAAAGUACUUUCAGUGGGGAGGCGUUACCCGCAGAAGAAGCACCGGCUAACUCCGUGCCAGCAGCCGCGGUAAUUC
rnacentral:rRNA from 1 species